rnacentral:rRNA from 1 species
GACGAACGCUGGCGGCGUGCUUAACACAUGCAAGUCGAGCGGUAAGGCUCCUUCGGGAGUACACGAGCGGCGAACGGGUGAGUAACACGUGAGCAAUCUGCCCUUCACACGGGAAUAACCCUCGGAAACGAGAGCUAAUGCCCGAUACAACCACUGAGGACAUCCUCUGGUGGUGGAAAGUUCCGGCGGUGAAGGAUGAGCUCGCGGCCUAUCAGCUUGUUGGUGGGGUAACGGCCUACCAAGGCGACGACGGGUAGCCGGCCUGAGAGGGUGACCGGCCACACUGGGACUGAGACACGGCCCAGACUCCUACGGGAGGCAGCAGUGGGGAAUAUUGGACAAUGGGCGAAAGCCUGAUCCAGCAACGCCGCGUGAGGGAUGACGGCCUUCGGGUUGUAAACCUCUUUCAGCAGGGACGAAGCGCAAGUGACGGUACCUGCAGAAGAAGCACCGGCCAACUACGUGCCAGCAGCCGCCGUAAGAC